rnacentral:rRNA from 1 species
UGCCUACGGGAGGCAGCAGUGGGGAAUAUUGGACAAUGGGCGCAAGCCUGAUCCAGCCAUGCCGCGUGAGUGAUGAAGGCCCUAGGGUUGUAAAGCUCUUUCAGCGAGGAGGAUAAUGACGUUACUCGCAGAAGAAGCCCCGGCUAACUUCGUGCCAGCAGCCGCGGUAAUACGAAGGGGGCUAGCGUUGUUCGGAAUCACUGGGCGUAAAGCGCACGUAGGCGGACUUUUAAGUCAGGGGUGAAAUCCCGGGGCUCAACCUCGGAACUGCCGUUGAUACUGGAAGUCUGGAGUCCGAGAGAGGUGAGUGGAACUCCGAGUGUAGAGGUGAAAUUCGUAGAUAUUCGGAAGAACACCAGUGGCGAAGGCGGCUCACUGGCUCGGUACUGACGCUGAGACGCGAAAUCGUGGGUAGCGAACGGGAUUAGAUACCCUAGUAGUCCG